UACAGAGGUCUCGAGCGUUGUUCGGAUUCAUUGGGCGUAAAGGGUGCGUAGGUGGCGCUGUAAGUCAGGUGUGAAAUUUCGGAGCUUAACUCCGAAACUGCAUUUGAUACUGCGGUGUUUGAGGACUGGAGAGGAGACUGGAAUUUACGGUGUAGCAGUGAAAUGCGUAGAGAUCGUAAGGAAGACCAGUGGCGAAGGCGGGUCUCUGGACAGUUCCUGACACUGAGGCACGAAGGCCAGGGGAGCAAACGGG
rnacentral:rRNA from 1 species